rnacentral:rRNA from 1 species
UACGGAGGGGGCAAGCGUUGUUCGGAAUUACUGGGCGUAAAGGGCGCGUAGGCGGCCUUCUAAGUCGGACGUGAAAUCCCCGGGCUCAACCCGGGAACUGCGUCCGAUACUGGAAGGCUUGAAUCCGGGAGAGGGAUGCGGAAUUCCAGGUGUAGCGGUGAAAUGCGUAGAUAUCUGGAGGAACACCGGUGGCGAAGGCGGCAUCCUGGACCGGCAUUGACGCUGAGGCGCGAAAGCCAGGGGAGCAAACGGG